rnacentral:lncRNA from 1 species
GUAUUCCUAGACGUAGCUUUUAUAUUUGAGAUUUUUGGCAAGGCUUGUAUAAAAAAGUCCCUCUACAACAGACCUGUUUUGAAGCAUCGCUGCAAGCAGCAGGUUAGUGGUUGAAGAUAGGCAGUAUAUCCACCUACCAGUGGAUGUAUUUUGUUUUUGUUUUUUGGUUUUUGGCUCCCAGGUGAUCUUAAUGAAGGUGGCAUGAUGAUGCCCACCUGAGGCCAGGCUGCCCUGCUGGAAGCUGUUAAUCUACCCAGAUGCAGAAGUUCCUUGUAAUGGACUCCUCCUCCCUAACACCACUGACCUGAGCUCUGCCAUCAUUCAGCUUUACGGCCUGCCUUAAGGACCAGGAGGAAGAGAUGCAAGGAGGUAUUUGGGAAGUAUCCCAGGUGUAGACGAUGUGCUUAUUUGAAGAAGGAAUAUGUGCAUGUGAAGAGGACUUUUAGAUCUUUUGGCCUUCGCUGCUGCAGCCAGCUGCUCUUUCCAAUGGAUUUGAAUAAAUCUUUGUUUUCUUAGCUUCAAGCCUAAUUUGAAAAAAAAAUUAAAAAAAAUACUUACUGUUUUCCUAACAAGAAGGUUCCUUAUGUUCUUCAAUCAAUCAUUUCUUGCAGUGUAUCAGGAGACUUGAGGGGUAGCCCUGCACAACCUGGAAUGCUAGUGU